UGAGGAAUAUUGGACAAUGGGCGCAAGCCUGAUCCAGCCAUGCCGCGUGCAGGAAGACUGCCCUAUGGGUUGUAAACUGCUUUUAUACAGGAAGAAACACCCCGACGUGUCGGGGCUUGACGGUACUGUAAGAAUAAGGAUCGGCUAACUCCGUGCCAGCAGCCGCGGUAAUACGGAGGAUCCAAGCGUUAUCCGGAAUCAUUGGGUUUAAAGGGUCCGUAGGUGGAUAAUUAAGUCAGGGGUGAAAGUCUGCAGCUCAACUGUAGAAUUGCCUUUGAUACUGGUUGUCUUGAGUUAUUAUGAAGUAGUUAGAAUAUGUGGUGUAGCGGUGAAAUGCAUAGAUAUCACAUAGAAUACCAAUUGCGAAGGCAGAUUAYUAAUAAUAUACUGACASUGAUGGACGAAAGCGUGGGGAGCGAACAGGAUUAGAUACCCUGGUAGUCCACGCCGUAAACGAUGGUUACUAGCUGUUCGAACUUCGGUUGAGUGGCUAAGCGAAAGUGAUAA
rnacentral:rRNA from 1 species